UACGGAGGUGGCAAGCGUUGCUCGGAAUCACUGGGCGUAAAGGGCGCGUAGGCGGGGAGGUAAGUCGGGUGUGAAAUCCCUCGGCCCAACCGAGGAACUGCGCCCGAGACUGCUUCUCUUGAGUCCCGGAGAGGAAGAUGGAAUUCCCGGUGUAGCGGUGAAAUGUGUAGAGAUCGGGAGGAACACCGGUGGCGAAGGCAGCCUUCUGGGCCAAUACUGACGCUCAUGCACGAAAGCGUGGGGAGCAAACAGG
rnacentral:rRNA from 1 species